UUGACCUCAAAUCAGGUAGGACUACCCGCUGAACUUAAGCAUAUCAAUAAGCGGAGGAAAAGAAACUAACAAGGAUUCCCCUAGUAACUGCGAGUGAAGAGGGAAAAGCUCAAAUUUAAAAUCUGGCAGCUUCGCUGUCCGAGUUGUAAUUUAG
rnacentral:rRNA from 13 species